UACAGAGGGGGCAAGCGUUGUUCGGAAUUACUGGGCGUAAAGGGCGCGUAGGCGGUGUGUCACGUCGGCCGUGAAAACCUGCAGCUUAACUGUGGGCGUGCGGUCGAUACGGGCAUCACUGGAGUUCGGCAGGGGAGACUGGAAUUCCUGGUGUAGCGGUGAAAUGCGCAGAUAUCAGGAGGAACACCGGUGGCGAAGGCGGGUCUCUGGGCCGAUACUGACGCUGAGGAGCGAAAGCGUGGGGAGCGAACAGG
rnacentral:rRNA from 1 species